rnacentral:ncRNA from 1 species
AACCGCUGUACGCUUGGGUACGGCGAAGGGCCGCUUGGGGCCGACGGG